GGUUAACUGGUUUAGUAGCUCUUUAGAUGACAGUGUUGACUGUUGACAAUCUGCAAAACAUACACAGCAUCCCUGUCUUCAAGAGAAGGAAUAAUAAAAUAAAGUUGUAGUGACCUUAAGAUAAUACAGAUUUCCAAACCCUGAUUUGAGCUUCUUGAACAGUAACCUAUUGUUUCUCUUACUGGAACUGGAAAGUAUUUUGCAAUCUCAUCUGUUUGUUGAACUUUUGCUGCUGGGAAAUUCCCUGUAGGCCUCUAAAGUCACAUUCAGGACCAAUCCUGGGAGUUGAGGCAAUCUCAUCUGUUUGUUGAACCUUUUCUGCUGAGAAAUUCCCAGUAGGCAUCUAAAGUCAUAUGCAGGGCAGGGAUCUGGGUGGGGGCUGAACCAGGCUAGAGCCCAUAGUAGACCCCCGAAAAGCUCCAGGUCUAAAUUUUUAUUAGCCCUGCAUGCCCUCUUUUGUGCCUGGCAGGACACGCUGGGGUAAUAAUAAAUCCAGCAUGCCACUGUCUGUGCCUUUCUACGUUUGGCCAUU